UUAAUAGUUAAGUUCUUUAAAUUUAAAAAAUUUGGCGGUAUUUUAGUCUUAUUAGAGGAACCUGUUUAUUAAUUGAUAAUCCACGAUUAAUUUUACUUAUUUUAAUUAAUUCAUAUAUCGCUGUCAUGAAUAUAUUAAAAAAUUUAUUUUCUUUUAUUAUUUUUAUAAUUUAUGUUAAGUCAAGAUGUGGUUUAUAAAUAAGAAUAUAAUGGGUUACAAUAAAUUUUAUUUUUGAAUUUUAAAUGAAAAUUAAAAUGAAAUUGGAUUUAAUAGUAAGUUUAUUUAUUUAGUUAAUAUGAAUAAAGAUCUAAAAUAUGUACAUAUUGCCCGUCAUUCUUAUUAAAAAUAAGACAAGUCGUAACAAAGUAAAUGUACUGGAAAGUGUAUUUAGAAAGAUAUAUUUUAAAA
rnacentral:rRNA from 1 species